rnacentral:lncRNA from 1 species
GACAACUUUUAAUAAUAAACGUUAUGAUUUACCUACAAAUAGGGAUACUAUACUUAGCCUUUCAAACAAAUGAUUUCAAAGAAUACAAAAAUGAAUUGUGAUUUUUCUUCAAGUUCUCUUUUACCUUAUGUUGCUUAUCAUGAAAGGUAUUUUCCAAAUGAAUGAUCAGUUCAUUGAAAAGUAACAGCAAAGGUUGCACGGCUUACUGGAAAUACAUCCACAAGAGGACCAACAGCUCCUCCACUACCCAUCUUAUCAAUCAAGAGGCAACUGUCAUUUGACCAAGGAGAAAGGAAAACAACUGGCUUAUGAGUAAAAGCUGUGAUGUCCUUGCUGUGAUGACCUUCAUGAC